rnacentral:rRNA from 1 species
UACGAAGGGGGCUAGCGUUGCUCGGAAUUACUGGGCGUAAAGCGUGCGCAGGCGGUGAUGUAAGACAGUUGUGAAAUCCCCGGGCUCAACCUGGGAACUGCAUCUGUGACUGCAUCGCUGGAGUGCGGCAGAGGGGGAUGGAAUUCCGCGUGUAGCAGUGAAAUGCGUAGAUAUGCGGAGGAACACCGAUGGCGAAGGCAGCCUCCUGGGCCAGCACUGACGCUCAUGCACGAAAGCGGUGGGGAGCAAACAGG